UAGGGGGCGAGCGUUGUCCGGAAUGACUGGGCGUAAAGGGAGUGUAGGCGGCUUUUUAAGUUAUAUGUGAAAUCCCGCGGCUUAACCGCGGAACUGCAUAUAAAACUGGGGAGCUGGAGUGCAGUAGAGGUAAGUGGAAUUCCUAGUGUAGCGGUGGAAUGCGUAGAUAUUAGGAAGAACACCGGAGGCGAAGGCGGCUUACUGGACUGUAACUGACGCUGAGGCUCGAAAGCGUGGGGAGCAAA
rnacentral:rRNA from 1 species